CUGGAGGUAUCAGAAGUGCGAAUGCUGACAUAAGUAACGAUAAAGCGGGUGAAAAGCCCGCUCGCCGGAAGACCAAGGGUUCCUGUCCAACGUUAAUCGGGGCAGGGUGAGUCGACCCCUAAGGCGAGGCCGAAAGGCGUAGUCGAUGGGAAACAGGUUAAUAUUCCUGUACUUGGUGUUACUGCGAAGGGGGGACGGAGAAGGCUAUGUUGGCCGGGCGACGGUUGUCCCGGUUUAAGCGUGUAGGCUGGUUUUCCAGGCAAAUCCGGAAAAUCAAGGCUGAGGCGUGAUGACGAGGCACUACGGUGCUGAAGCAACAAAUGCCCUGCUUCCAGGAAAAGCCUC
rnacentral:rRNA from 1 species